UGGGGAAUAUUGGACAAUGGGGGAAACCCUGAUCCAGCAAUGCCGCGUGAGUGAUGAAGGCCUUAGGGUUGUAAAGCUCUUUCGGGUGGGACGAUGAUGACGGUACCACCAGAAGAAGCCCCGGCUAACUUCGUGCCAGCAGCCGCGGUAAUACGAAGGGGGCUAGCGUUGUUCGGAAUUACUGGGCGUAAAGCGCACGCAGGCGGCUCGUUAAAUAAGGAGUGAAAGCCCUGGGCUCAACCCGGGAAUUGCUCUUUAGACUGGCGAGCUUGAAUUCGGAAGAGGGCAGUGGAAUUCCAAGUGUAGAGGUGAAAUUCGUAGAUAUUUGGAAGAACACCAGUGGCGAAGGCGACUGCCUGGUCCGAUAUUGACGCUCAUGUGCGAAAGCGUGGGGAGCAAACAGG
rnacentral:rRNA from 1 species